CGCGUUUGCACUCACUCCCUCUGCUCCCUCGGCUAUAAAACUCCAGCUACCUGCUGCGGCUCACCAACCCCGGGCUCAGAGGAAUCAGCUGGACAUCUGUAGCUACCUUCUGCAAGGCGCAGGCCCUCAUCGCCCCGAGCCAUGGAUCCCCCAAAAUGCAGCUGCCCAACGGGAGGCACUUGCACCUGUUCUGGCAAGUGCAAAUGCAAAGAGUGCAAAUGUACUUCCUGUGAGAAAGGAGGCUGCUGUACCUGCUGCCCUACUGAGUGUCCUAAGUGCUCCAAGCAGUGUGUCGACAAAGGGACUGACAAGUGCAGCUGCAACCACUGAUGGAGCUUCUUGUAAAUAUAACUGUUUUUCCUAAAGGCAUGAGCUGUGUGCAUUUCCUGCCGUAAAAAUAUACUCAUGUGUUUUCCAGUGAAAAUAAACUCAACGAACUAAGUAA